rnacentral:SRP_RNA from 1 species
GCCGCCUGCCACCACGACCUGCCGUCCCUCUCUAUGUCUCGCCUAGCUGCGGACCACAUUUUGAAUUUUGUCUUCACAAAGUUCUGGAAGCCUCAGGCUCGGGUGGCACGCGCUGGCCAGCGAAA